rnacentral:rRNA from 1 species
UUUAGAGUUUGAUCAGGGCUCAGGAGGAACGCUGGCGGCGUGCCUAAUACAUGCAAGUUCGAGCGGAUUGAUGGGGAGCUUGCUCCCUGAUAUCAGCGGCGGACGGGUGAGUAACACGUGGGUAACCUGCCUGUAAGACUGGGAUAACUCCGGGAAACCGGGGCUAAUACCGGAUAACUCAUUUCCUCGCAUGAGGAAAUGUUGAAAGGUGGCUUUUAGCUAUCACUUACAGAUGGACCCGCGGCGCAUUAGCUAGUUGGUGAGGUAACGGCUCACCAAGGCAACGAUGCGUAGCCGACCUGAGAGGGUGAUCGGCCACACUGGGACUGAGACACGGCCCAGACUCCUACGGGAGGCAGCAGUAGGGAAUCUUCCGCAAUGGACGAAAGUCUGACGGAGCAACGCCGCGUGAGUGAUGAAGGUUUUCGGAUCGUAAAGCUCUGUUGUUACCUAAGAACAAGAGCCGUUCGAAUAGGGCGGCACCUGACGGACCUAACCAGAAAGUCACG